UUGAACGCUGGCGGCAGGCCUAACACCUGCAAGUCGCGCGGAUGAAGGGAGCUUGCUCCUGGAUUCAGCGGCGGACGGGUGAGUAAUGCCUAGGAAUCUGCCUGGUAGUGGGGGAUAACGUCCGGAAACGGGCGCUAAUACCGCAUACGUCCUGAGGGAGAAAGUGGGGGAUCUUCGGACCUCACGCUAUCAGAUGAGCCUAGGUCGGAUUAGCUAGUUGGUGGGGUAAAGGCCUACCAAGGCGACGAUCCGUAACUGGUCUGAGAGGAUGAUCAGUCACACUGGAACUGAGACACGGUCCAGACUCCUACGGGAGGCAGCAGUGGGGAAUAUUGGACAAUGGGCGAAAGCCUGAUCCAGCCAUGCCGCGUGUGUGAAGAAGGUCUUCGGAUUGUAAAGCACUUUAAGUUGGGAGGAAGGGCAGUAAGUUAAUACCUUGCUGUUUUGACGUUACCAACAGAAUAAGCACCGGCUAACUUCGUG
rnacentral:rRNA from 1 species